AAAAAUUGGUUUAACUACUGUUCUUUUGCAGGGCCGGAUUUAGGAUUCUAGCGUCCUGGGCAUGUGACACUGAAGUAGUGAGUUAAUGAUCGCGAACGGAGCGAUCGGAAAGUUUUUGUGGUUUUCUAAUUUCAAAACAUUUGAUUUCUCACUUCUGAGCGCCUAAAUUUC